UAAGACGAACCGUGCGAACGUUAUUCGGAAUCACUGGGCUUAAAGCGCGUGUAGGCGGGCCGCCACGUCGGCUGCUGAAAUCCCCCGGCUCAACCGGGGAACGGGCACCGAUACGAGCGGCCUCGAGGGGGGUAGGGGGACCUGGAACUUCCGGUGGAGCGGUGAAAUGCGUUGAGAUCGGAAGGAACGCCCGUGGCGAAAGCGAGGUCCUGGACCCUUUCUGACGCUGAGACGCGAAAGCCAGGGGAGCGAACGGGAUUAGAUACCCCGGUAGUCCUGGCCGUAAACGAUGGGCACUGGGUAGGGGGCUCGCCGAUGGGCUCCCUGCCGUAGGGAAACCGUGAAGUGCCCCGCCUGGGGAGUAUGGUCGCAAGGCUG
rnacentral:rRNA from 1 species